rnacentral:lncRNA from 1 species
CUUAGCAGAAGUUUCAAGGUCAAUAGACAGGAACUAUGGGAUUUGGGCCAAAAAACCUCCAUAGAUAUCAUAUGAGAUUUACCAAUGCUAAUACAACGGCACACCGCAUAUCAUUGAUUGAACAAGUGGUUUCCUCUCAACUGAUAUGAUUAUAAACUUCUACAUUGUUGACCCCUUCGCCGUCUUACUCACAAAUACAGCACGCAUAAGAC